rnacentral:rRNA from 1 species
UACGUAGGGUCCGAGCGUUGUCCGGAAUUACUGGGCGUAAAGAGCUCGUAGGUGGUUUGUCGCGUUGUUCGUGAAAACUCACAACUCAAUUGUGGGCGUGCGGGCGAUACGGGCAGACUUGAGUACUGCAGGGGAGACUGGAAUUCCUGGUGUAGCGGUGGAAUGCGCAGAUAUCAGGAGGAACACCGGUGGCGAAGGCGGUUCUCUGGGCCUGUACUGACGCUGAGGAGCGAAAGCGUGGGGAGCGAACAGG